UACGGAGGGUGCUAGCGUUGUUCGGAAUUACUGGGCGUAAAGCGCGCGUAGGCGGCCACUUAAGUCGGAUGUGAAAGCCCCUGGCUCAACUGGGGAAGUGCACCCGAAACUGAAUGGCUUGAAUGCAAAAGAGGGUCGCGGAAUUCCCGGUGUAGAGGUGAAAUUCGUAGAUAUCGGGAGGAACACCGGUGGCGAAGGCGGCGACCUGGGUUGACAUUGACGCUGAGGCGCGAAAGCGUGGGGAGCAAACAGG
rnacentral:rRNA from 1 species